rnacentral:rRNA from 1 species
GUGACGAAGCGACGCCGCGUGGGUGAAGAAGGCCUUCGGGUUGUAAAGCCCUGUCAGGAGUUAUGAAAUAUAGGUACGAUAAUACCGUGCCUAUUUGACAAAGGCUCCAAAGGAAGCCACGGCUAACUCUGUGCCAGCAGCCGCGGUAAUACAGAGGUGGCAAGCGUUGUUCGGAAUUAUUGGGCGUAAAGAGCACGUAGGUGGGUUUGUAAGUCAGGUGUGAAAGCCUUCUGUUCAACAGGAGAAUUGCAUCUGAAACUACAAGUCUUGAGUGUAGGAGGGGAGAAUGGAACUUCUGGUGGAGCGGUGAAAUGCGUAGAUAUCAGAAGGAACGCCGGCGGCGAAAGCGAUUCUCUGGCCUAUUACUGACACUCAGUGUGCGAAAGCUAGGGGAGCAAACGGGAUUAGAUACCCCGGUAGUCCUAGCCGUAAACGAU